rnacentral:rRNA from 1 species
UGAUCUGCCCUCAAGUGGGGAAUAACGCUGCGAAAGCAGUGCUAAUACCGCAUAAGCUGGAUGCGCAAGCAUACAGUAAAGCUAAGGCGCUUGAGGAGGAACCCGCGGCUGAUUAGCUAGAUGGUGGGGUAACGGCCUACCAUGGCGAUGAUCAGUAGCCGGCCUGAGAGGGCUGACGGCCACACUGGGACUGAGACACGGCCCAG